rnacentral:lncRNA from 1 species
GCUUUGGAUCUCUUUAGGAGUCCGGAAUGCAACAUUAUUAGGCUGUUCUAAAUUUACUUCUGCAUUCUCAGAAUUAUUUCUAAGUUCUGUUGAAGAAGCUGUUUUAUCUGCUUUCUUCUGGAAAGUUAGGAUGAUUAUAAUCCUGCAUUAGGUUUUCAUGGAGGUGGAGGUUGAAAUUCAGGAGGAGUUGGGGGAAGGGAGGACAAAGAGAAUCCUCCUAAGGUUUAAAGGAUACUACAUAUUGCUAGUUCUCUUCCUAUUUUCUGACCACUAUAAGUUCUCCUUUGGAGGAGUGUUUUUCAUUCUAAUUGUUAAGUGACUUGCCUUAUGUGACACAGAUAAUAAGCAGCAUGGUAAGAAUUUACUACUAAACUGUCAGCUUUGUUGGGAGUGAGAGGUUCAAGGAACAUGAAUUAUGUUUCAUUUCAUUUUUGGAUUUCCCUAUAGCUUGGAUAAUGGAAAUGAUUACUGAAUAAAAUUAAACAGAGGUGAUAGUUCA